CAACCUGGAUUGUGCCAGAGUGAGGGCCCAGC
rnacentral:piRNA from 1 species